UAUCAGGGCUUGGAGCUCCUGUGACAGCUGCUUCUCUUCUUGUACAGCCUGUUGGAGCAGUUCCAGGGGCACCUCUUCCUAUCAUCUCUCAAUCUGCUGAUAUUGGUACACCUACUGAAUUCCUAUUACUGAAGAACAUGUUUGACCCAGUAGUGGAGAGGGAUCCUGAUUUUGAUUUGGAUAUUAGAGAUGAUGUGCAAGACGAAUGUUCAAAAUUUGGUGUAGUGAAACAUAUUUUUGUUGACAAGUAAGUCGUUUGUCUUCUAAACCCUGAUGGUAUGCCCUUUUAUUUAAACUGUAUGACACAUGUUGUCAACAGUUAUGAUAAACAAGGAUAACAAAGUUUGCAGUAACCGACUUGGCGAUUAAAUACAGAAAACAUCUGGUUCAUUAAACUGGAUAAGAAAAGAAAACAACCCACGUACACACACCCCACGCCCCACCUCCCACUCCCCUUCCCCAUAAUCCAUCGCUCUGGAUCUCCUGUCUCUCUGCAUAUCGCCGCCGCCGCCCUCCUCCCGCGAACGGCGACUCAUAGUGCAGCCCAAAAGAUUGGAGCGGUUGCAUUGCCGCCGCCGCUCUCCUCCCGGAGCGGGUGCUAAUUGGCCUAGGCGCCUACCCGGAGCACGACGCGGAUGUCUCCGCCUCUUCGGCAAAGACCAGGCGGUCGACGAGACGCCGGAGACGGAGACGACCUGAGUAGGUUACGGUUGGGGGUGCGGGGGGCUCGCUAGCGUCGGAGAAGAUGCGGUGGUGCGGGGUGUUUGGAGGGAUGGCGGCGCUGCCAACACCGGCCGCGGAUGGCCGGAACUGGCGGUUGGUGCCAAAGCCAGUGGGUUCGACGAGCGGGCGCGCCUAUUGGCGAUGGAGGCGGGCAGAGAUGGAUGGUAGUGGGUGGGGUCGGGCGGGCUCGACCGCGGCAGCAGCUCCACCUCGCAUCUCAUUCAGAGCUUAAGAUUCAGGCCACCAAGGCCAAACUGGAUGCAGCUGAGGUUCAGUUCACCCCACUGUUAUCUCAGUUAACAGCUUCAAAGCAGAGGUACAGACUCCGGGUCCGGGUGCGCAUCCCACUGAUGUGGGGGGCCUUCAAUCCAAAUCAUGACGACGCGGUGGUCAGCCUCCAGAUUUUUUGACCGUCUUCGGCAUGGUUUCUCAGGGGGGUAAUUUGGUGGGAUGGAGAGGGAGGGGAGGUGCCAUGGGAGAGGACAACCAUGGGGUGUGCCGGUGCGGGAGUGCAUGAUACAAAGAUAAGAUGGGGUGAAAGUGUAAGAGAGAUUACCUGGGUCGUCGUCUGACGCUACCGCCAACGGAUGCUUGGAGCUACAAAUGUGACAUAUAUUUCGUGAAAUAUUCACAUCAUGUAUUGUAGUUGAUUGUUCUUUUUGCAGGAAGCAGGGAUUAUUUUCAAUUAUCAAGUUUUUGCCAAAAAUGUAGAUUGUACUGAAGGUUUCAUGUUUGUGGCUCCGAUUUUUGAUUUUUUUUGUAACAAGUUCAGUAGCAAGCAUGGGUCCACAAAUUGUUUAGAUGCAUGCCUCGAUGAGUGCAUGACCAUGUAGAUGUAUCACUUAACUUUGUGGUUUUAAAUGCACAUUAGAAUGACCUGGUUAGAUAUGAAGACCUAUUUGUAUUAACAUUUUUAUUAAGAAGUUCUCCUAGAGUUUGAGAAAUCUUUAUAAGAAUUGGUCUGACUAUGUAGUACAAACUUGGUACAUUGGACAUAGGAAGGGUUAAUUCUUAUUCAUUUGAUUUGA